UUUGAAGUAAGGAAAUAUUUAAUCUACUCUCUCACAAACCUUAGCCACUCACCACCAGAAAAACCUAAACUCUCGAAUUGUCAAUUUGUUCACGGGGCUUCGGUCAAAUCCCUUCGCCUUACAAAUUGGUCGCUGGUUCUCUCAGAGCUCAACAGAAGCUCUCAUUCGAUGGAAAAGGAAGACGAGAUGCAUCCCCAGUGCACAGAGCGGAGCUCAGGCGUGGCCGAUGGAGGACGAACGAACGUAAUAUUGCAGAUCCACUCAGUUUCCUCCUCUCAAAAUCCUAAACUCCUUUCCUAUUAUCGAGUUAUGGAGGGUUUAGCUUCCUUCAACUCCUUCUCUUCUUUCACUUGCCGACCCAAACGCCUCUCCAUCCCUGCCACCAGACCCACCUCCCUCUCUUCCCCCUUCCUCCUCCUCCAUUAGCAGGUCGCAAUGUCGGGCGAAUCAGAGCCGGUGAAAGAUGAGUUGAAAGUGGGAGGUGGGGAUGUUCCACAACGAAGUAGAUGCGGUGGAGGGUAUCAAAAUUAGCAUGAGGCCGCCCACUAGGCCGCCCAAGCAUUAUGUUGGCCCUUUCAGGUUUCGAUUUGAGGAUGAGGACGAUACUCCCAAGAAUAUCUUGGAGGAGAUCAUUUGAUACGAGGACCAAGAAGUCUUUAGGGUACAUAUAUAUAUAUAUAUAUAUAUAUCUCUCUACAACUUUGAUCCAAUAAUGAGUUGUUGAAUUAUGUUUGUUUCAGUGUUUUGGCAAAUGAAAAAUACUUUCAGGUGAUCAAUUUAGUUUCAUAAUUUGUUGAUAUGCCAAGAAAGCUGCAAUCGAUGAGCUUUACCUGACUUUCUUUUGGCUUAAUAUGGUAGAAAUAAGAAAAGCUGGAGUUUAGGUAUAAAAUACAUCUCUUGGUUUAGCUUCUACUUUUCUACUUCUUUGUUUAAGGCUUUCUUUUUCAAACUCAAAUACAAUCUGUGCCUGAAAUUAUAAGUAUAAAUCUCAAUUUUCCUCACUUUCGUUUUAGAUAUUAUGGUUAUGCUUAGUCUUUGAUUUCAGUGUCUUUGCUUUUGAGUUCCAAGCUAUGAUCUUUCUGAUUUGACUGUCUUCGAUUCACUGCUUAUUAAUCUCAUUCAUGUAAUGUGUAUAUUCUCUUGGGUAUUUUAGAUAGUCGGUUCAUUACGAGUUUAAUAUAGUGAUUUGAAGUUUCUGGGUUCA